AUGAGUAAUAUAUCCCUCCGCUGGAGGUUUGGUCACGUUGAAGAUGAGCUGGGCCUGAGGGGUCUCGUCAUCUUUGGCAUCCAGGGCAGCAGUGGUCAUGGGGGUGAGGAUGAACUGAUCUACCUCCAGGAUGAACGUAGACAUGAAGGCAGCAUUGGGAGGUUGGUUCUGCAUGGCCCCUUGGAUCAGUACUGGUAUCCAGAUACUCUCAGUCUAAGAGAGAAGAAGCAUGGUUCGGGAGGUCUGGUCCCUGAACUCCACCUUGAUUGGGAUGUAAUCAAUCUCAGGUGAUGGAGGACUGAGGUGCUGGUACUUCAGACCUGAAGCUCAGAAUCCGGCAUUGAUUCAGGAACCUCAACGACCAGUUGACCAAGCAUUGGGACAUUGAUCUCAGAGCUGAGAAGACGUACCGUGCAGAUCACAUCGGGCUGGGUUUUAAAGGUAAGGACACUGCUAUUGAUGGCAUUGGAAAGGCUGUAGAAUUCAGAGACCACCAGAGGAACAUUUCCAAGCUCUGUGAGGCUCCUUCGAGGUUCUACUACAUGUAUCUUCAGCAGCACAACCUCAACAAAAGUCUCGGUUUCUGUAAACCUAAGUACAAACAUAGAAAAAAGCAUUUGUGAGUAUGGAAAUUACAUUAGGCCUUGGAAAAAUGGUUUUUGCAGCUCCCAAAAGCCCUAAUUGAAGUAACAGCUGUAACAUGUUGGGGUUGGACAAGAAUAAUGACCACACAAUGUUUCACCUGUAGACCCUCAGCAUGACAGUGUCCUCCUCUAGAAGUGGACUGCCAUUGUGAACAUACUUCACCUCGUCCGGAAAGAACUGGCAGUCAAAAACCUUGAAAAUGGUACAACAACAAUUAUUCUCACAUUUUAUAUAAUGCAUAAGCUAAUUCUGGAUUUGUUUUGUUACCUGAGGAGUGAGUUUUCCCACUCUUUGCGUGAUAGGCUCGGUGAGAACUACUUCAACCUUACAGGCCUCAGAGACCCUGUCCAUGUGGAACUGAAGUUCACCAGCCGUGACAAACACCGACUGGCCUCUGGCUACCCGAAGCCCUGUGUUUAACCGAACUAGACUUGAAGCUUGGACAUGUGGCCACAGGUGACUCAAGGUGAACAAUGUCAAAGCAAAGAUGUCCACCCCCAUCUUUUUGUUCAGUUGCUUGGUAUCCAAGGUUAUUCGCUUCAGAUGAACUGUCUUGCUCUCAUUUCCAACAGUAUGCUGCAUGAAUAUGAGGAAAAUAAAUCAAUAAAGUUGCAUAUUUGUGUAUUUUAG
ensembl:lncRNA